AGGCGUGCCUAUAGCGAAGGGGAAACACCCGAUCCCAUCUCGAACUCGGAAGUAAAGUCCUUCAGCGGCGAAGAUAGUGCCAGGGUAACUUGGUGUGAAAUUAGCACGGUGCGCCUU
rnacentral:rRNA from 1 species